UACGAAGGGGGCUAGCGUUGUUCGGAUUUACUGGGCGUAAAGCGCACGUAGGCGGACUAUUAAGUCAGGGGUGAAAUCCCGGGGCUCAACCCCGGAACUGCCUUUGAUACUGGUAGUCUUGAGUUCGAGAGAGGUGAGUGGAAUUCCGAGUGUAGAGGUGAAAUUCGUAGAUAUUCGGAGGAACACCAGUGGCGAAGGCGGCUCGCUGGUCCAUUACUGACGCUGAGGUGCGAAAGCGUGGGGAGCAAACAGG
rnacentral:rRNA from 1 species